rnacentral:rRNA from 2 species
UACGAAGGGGGCUAGCGUUGUUCGGAUUUACUGGGCGUAAAGCGCGUGUAGGCGGGCCGUUAAGUUGGGGGUGAAAGCCCGAGGCUCAACCUCGGAACUGCCUUCAAAACUGGCGGCCUGGAGCAGAUGAGAGGCGAGUGGAAUUCCGAGUGUAGAGGUGAAAUUCGUAGAUAUUCGGAGGAACACCAGUGGCGAAGGCGACUCGCUGGCAUCUUGCUGACGCUGAGACGCGAAAGCGUGGGGAGCAAACAGG